rnacentral:rRNA from 1 species
AGUGAACGCUGGCGGUAGGCCUAACACAUGCAAGUCGAACGGCAGCACAGUAAGAGCUUGCUCUUACGGGUGGCGAGUGGCGGACGGGUGAGGAAUACAUCGGAAUCUACUUUUUCGUGGGGGAUAACGUGGGGAAACUUACGCUAAUACCGCAUACGACCUACGGGUGAAAGCAGGGGAUCUUCGGACCUUGCGCGAUUGAAUGAGCCGAUGUCGGAUUAGCUAGUUGGCGGGGUAAAGGCCCACCAAGGCGACGAUCCGUAGCUGGUCUGAGAGGAUGAUCGGCCACACUGGAACUGAGACACGGUCCAGACUCCUACGGGAGGCAGCAGUGGGGAAUAUUGGACAAUGGGCGCAAGCCUGAUCCAGCCAUACCGCGUGGGUGAAGAAGGCCUUCGGGUUGUAAAGCCCUUUUGUUGGGAAAGAAAAGCAGCAGGUUAAUACCCCGCUGUUCUGACGGUACCCAAAGAAUAAGCACCGGCUAACUUCGUG